rnacentral:rRNA from 1 species
GUUAAGCGACUAAGCGUACACGGUGGAUGCCCUGGCAGUCAGAGGCGAUGAAGGACGUGCUAAUCUGCGAUAAGCGUCGGUGAGGUGAUAUGAACCGUUAUAACCGGCGAUUUCCGAAUGGGGAAACCCAGUGUGUUUCGACACACUAUCAUUAACUGAAUCCAUAGGUUAAUGAGGCGAACCGGGGGAACUGAAACAUCUAAGUACCCCGAGGAAAAGAAAUCAACCGAGAUUCCCCCAGUAGCGGCGAGCGAACGGGGAGGAGCCCAGAGCCUGAAUCAGUGUGUGUGUUAGUGGAAGCGUCUGGAAAGGCGUGCGAUACAGGGUGACAGCCCCGUACACAAAAAUGCACAUACUGUGAGCUCGAUGAGUAGGGCGGGACACGUGGUAUCCUGUCUGAAUAUGGGGGGACCAUCCUCCAAGGCUAAAUACUCCUGACUGACCGAUAGUGAACCAGUACCGUGAGGGAAAGGCGAAAAGAACCCCGGCGAGGGGAGUGAAAAAGAACCUGAAACCGUGUACG